GAGGUGUGUUAUAGUUGGAGCGUAUCUGUUGAUUUUUACUCAUUUCAAAAUACCCUUUUCUUUCUAUCAAAAAAAAAAAACCCUUUUCUUCCGCUUUCCGUAGGAGAAAUGAGAGGCCUUCACUGCAUAGAAGGAAGAGAUAGGGACUCAAAGGGUCUUCUUGGCGAAGGCCCCGGUGUGGUUUAAAUUGUUGUCCUGCUUCACCAUUAACAAUUAUUGAGUAUGAGACUGAUGAGACGCAUCGGUUGAUUAUGUUUAUCCAUCUUCUGUCGAAACCUAGCUUUUCCAUUACAAGCCAUACAUAAGGCCAUUCAACCCGAUCAUAGGCCAUUAUAUUACAAACCGAGAAGGAGAGAAGAUCCUUCAUUACCUGAAAACUAUGCGACCCCAUCAGCUGCUUGAGCAAAUGGUUUGUACUGCCUUCAGAGCAUCAGCUGACACUCUAAGCCAGACAAAUUUUGGAAGCUUGAAGCAGAUGAACAUGAAAACGGACCAACUCUACCGACUAUGGCAUCUACGUUAAGGACUAUGCAAGAUCCUUCAUUACCUGAAAACUAUGCGACCCCACCAGCUGCUUGAGCAAAUGGUUUGUACUGCCUUCAGAGCAUCAGCUGACACUCUAAGCCGGACAAAUUUUGGAAGCUUGAAGCAGAUGAACAUGAAAACGGACCAACUCUACCUGACUAUGGCAUCUACGUUAAGGAUUAUGCAAGUCAACCUAUCAUCUAAUGUCAGUAAGACAAUUGAAGACCUCUGUCAGCUUUGUGUCAUUUUUGAACAUGUUGAGAAGUUGUUAACACUUGCAGCUUCUCUUCAUCGUAAAUUUAGACAAGAACCACGUAUCGCACAUGCCAUUUUCAGUUACUUCUAAUACUUUAACCUUCCAACCAUGGAAACAGGUUCUGUGGAUGUAGUUACUGAGAAGGAAUUUGUCAUGAAGUUGCAACUCAGGAUGAGAGACAAGUUGUGUCGAGACUCGGAUGAUUUUAUUCAGAAGCAUAAAACUGAAAUCAAAUGGCCCACCGUGAAUCAGUCGUGGAGAAAAGUUUUAAGCAUGGGCAAUCAUCUUAAUGGCCAUGAACCGAUUAUCAGGGAGAUCAUCUUUAGAAUGUCUGAUAACGCCAGUGGCAAUCAAUACACAACCAGCAGCCCCAGGGUUUAUAAACACGAAAUAGAAACAUAUCAGAUUUAUACACGUGGAACCUCAAAUGAUCUUCGGGUAGCACUUGCUAUCACAACAUAUGAUUAAAUUCCAUUUCAAAUAAUGUAUUUACAAUAAAUUGAUUCGUAGUUUUAUUCAUUUUAUGGUUUUUUUUUACUAAAUAAACUGAGUUUUGGGGGUUUAUAUUCACCUUUUAGAAUGUUAGCAAUUUAAUGUAUCUAGCAACUGGAUAUUGCCCAUUAUAGCAGAUCAAAUAUUUUGCUUUUGAAUACAUGCAUUUUUUUGUA